UUAACGGCGCUUAUAAGCGCCACUAAAAGUAUUAGCUGCACUUUU
rfam:Gossypium hirsutum cultivar TM-1 chromosome 3, whole genome shotgun sequence